UGCUCCACUGACACACUUCUUUUGCUCCACAGGGUAGAGAGAUCUACAGACCAGGUGAUCAAGCCUGUCAACGUGGAGGCCUUAUCCAAGUGGGUGGGUAAGAUUCCCCCAGAUGUGCUGCGGGACAUGCCUGUCAUUGCCCCCAUGCUGGCCAGGCUCAGCUAUGAUCCCCACGCCAACCCUCCCAACUACGGCCGGCCCGACCCCCUCGUCCUGGAUAACACUAGAAGGGUCUUUAAGGGUGAAUUUCAGCUACCUGAUUUUCUUAAAGAACAAACACAGCUUCAGAAGUCCCCAGAAAAGCCAAACCCAAGUUAGGAGGAGAAGACGAGAGCUUUAUCAGUAGAAGGCUGAGUAGAAGCAGAUGCCGUGGGAACAUGAUGGACUUGCAUCACCCCCGCUAUGCUGGGACCUCCAUGCAUACAAACACACAUACACACACACACACACACACACACACAGACAGACAGAGACAGACAGACAGACAGACAGACAGAGACAGGCCUCUGGACCCGGACCACUCUUUGGAGGACAGUUUUGGCCUUUGAUGUUGUACUGUAACAGUUGUGGCCUAAGAAUGUCAUUGCUGUUCUGAAUUUUGUUUUUUCUUCUUUUCUUUUUAAAAAUUAGUUUUCCACACUGUACUCUAAUUUU